UACGUAGGGUGCGAGCGUUGUCCGGAAUUACUGGGCGUAAAGAGCUCGUAGGUGGUUUGUCGCGUUGUUCGUGAAAACCGGGGGCUUAACCCUCGGCGUGCGGGCGAUACGGGCAGACUUGAGUACUGCAGGGGAGAAUGGAAUUCCUGGUGUAGCGGUGAAAUGCGCAGAUAUCAGGAGGAACACCGGUGGCGAAGGCGGUUCUCUGGGCAUGACCUGACGCUGAGGAGCGAAAGUGUGGGGAGCGAACAGG
rnacentral:rRNA from 1 species